CCUACGGGAGGCAGCAGUGGGGAAUAUUGGACAAUGGGGGGAACCCUGAUCCAGCGACGCCGCGUGAGUGAAGAAGUAUUUCGGUAUGUAAAGCUCUAUCAGCAGGGAAGCAAAAAAUGACGGUACCUGACGAAGACACCCCGGGUAAAUACGUGCCAUCAGCCGCGGUAAUACGUGGGGGGCAAGUGUUAUCCGGAUUUUCUGGGUAGAAAGGGGGCGUAGACGGCGAUGCAAGUCUGAAGAGAAAGGCGGGGGCCCAACCCCUGGACUGUUUUUGAAACUGUAUGGCUGGAGGGCAGGAGAGGUAAGUGGAAUUCCUAGUGUAGCGGUGAAAUGCGUAGAUAUUAGGAGGAACACCAGUGGCGAAGGCGGCUUACUGGACUGUAACUGACGUUGAGGCUCGAAAGCGUGGGGAGCAAACAGGAUUAGAUACCCGAGUAGUC
rnacentral:rRNA from 1 species